GACGAACGCUGGCGGCGUGCUUAACACAUGCAAGUCGAACGGAAAGGCCCUGCUUUUGUGGGGUGCUCGAGUGGCGAACGGGUGAGUAACACGUGAGUAACCUGCCCUUGACUUUGGGAUAACUUCAGGAAACUGGGGCUAAUACCGGAUAGGAGCUCCUGCUGCAUGGUGGGGGUUGGAAAGUUUCGGCGGUUGGGGAUGGACUCGCGGCUUAUCAGCUUGUUGGUGGGGUAGUGGCUUACCAAGGCUUUGACGGGUAGCCGGCCUGAGAGGGUGACCGGCCACAUUGGUACUGAGAUACGGCCCAGACUCCUACGGGAGGCAGCAGUGGGGAGUAUUGCACAAUGGGCGGAAGCCUGAUGCAGCAACGCCGCGUGCGGGAUGACGGCCUUCGGGUUGUAAACCGCUGUCGCCUGUGACGAAGCGUGAGUGACGGUAAUGGGUAAAGAAGCACCGGCUAACUACGUG
rnacentral:rRNA from 1 species